GUUGGGGCAACAGCACCUAAUCGAUGGAUUCAGAAGCAGUGCCUCCUGUCAUCACCCAACCAAACAGUGCAUUCUUUUCAGGAUCUGAUGUUGAUGGGGCUACAAAUUGUAUGGAAAACCUGAACAUGGCCACGCCACCUCCGACUGAUGACACAGUAGAUGAAACAGUAGAAGAGGAGGAAAGACAGUUGUCUUCACUACCAUCUGUGCCAACACAUGCCAUCGAUGAGAAACAAA